AUGCUCACUUCAGCAGCACAUAUACUAAAACAAUUUGAAACAAAACAGAUGAUUAGGAUAGCCCCUACUCAAGGAUGACACCCAAAUUUGUGAACUGUUCUGUAUUUUU
ensembl:snRNA U6 U6 spliceosomal RNA